AUGCCCGUUCCCCACCACUGCCCUAAACUCCGCUUCGUCCCCGCCGAAUCCCGUAAUCCCGACGUGGCCUCCGCCGCCGUUGACGGCGACUUCUUCUUCGAAGACCUCCCCACCAUAGAUUCGGACGACGACGGCGAAGGGGACUACUACGACGAGUGGCGCCUCCGCGGCUGCGACGGCGGCCUCCUCCUCCUUUCCCGCGGCCGCUAUGCUUUGGAUCUCGCCGCGUAUGACCCCCUCGCGCGGACAGCCGUCUUCUUCCGCCCUCCCCACGCCUGGCGCUAUUCGUCCCACAUCGUGCGCUACGCCAUCUUGGCGGACGAUGCGGACGCCUCGUUCCGGGUCAUCGUCAUGGAGCGCUGGGCCGGCUCACGCUCCGCCGUCUUCUCCUCCCGCACCCGCGAAUGGGACAUGCUUGAGUCGCCCGGUACGCCUGCGAUGUAUAACUUCAUCCCAUGCAGCACCGACGGCACGCCCGCGGGCCGCUACGUGUACUGGCGGUCAGACACCAAGAAGUCCCGGUAUUGCAAGGACGACGAGAAGAUCUUGGUGCUGGAGAUGGAAGCAAUGGUGUGGUCGGUUAUCAAGCCGCCAUUCCCUCCUGGCGAAUCGUACUGCGUCGCGGACAUGGCGGAGCACGGCGGGCUCUGCAUUGUGUCCAGCAAAGAGCAGUGCGUGCAGCUCUGGGUCCGUGACAGCAAUGCUGAGUGGAUGCUCAAGAAGGAGGUUUCGUUGCUGAAUGAGUUUGGAUACCUGAAGAAGCUUCGUCUUGAGGAGUGGAUGAAGCGCGUGCGCAUCCUGGCAAUGAAGGCUGGCUAUGUGUACAUGGAGUUUUGGUCCAUAGGGAAGCCCCAUUCAUAUCUGUUCGUGCUAAAUCUGAACACCACAAAGCUGGAAUUCUUCUGCAACAAGUCGACCGAGCCUCACAGAGGUCCUGCGUUUCCGUUCUUCAUGCGGUCGGCACCUCUGCCUGCUCCAGAUGAUGAGUAA
rnacentral:rRNA from 1 species